GAAACUUCAGCUCUGAUACCAAAAUGUUGUAGGCACGGGUCGGAUGGUCGAACGGACGGACGGACGGACGGACGGAUGGCCGUUCCGCGGUUCAGCCUUGCCUCGGAUGGAUGGUAUUGGCCGGUUCGUCUCUUGCUUGUGAUCGUACCUGAAACAGAUAUGAACUUUUAGUGAGUUUUCAAUAGGAACAAGAACAGAAACAGGAUAUGAUUUCUUUUGGUUUUUUU
rnacentral:lncRNA from 1 species